CUGGGGCGACACCAGUGGGGCCCUGUGGGCACCCCCAUUAUAAGGUGAACGGGUGAGUAACACGUGGGCAAUCUGCCCUGCACUCUGGGACAAGCCCUGGAAACGGGGUCUAAUACCGGAUAUCACUCUUGCAGGCAUCUGUGAGGGUCGAAAGCUCCGGCGGUGCAGGAUGAGCCCGCGGCCUAUCAGCUUGUUGGUGAGGUAAUGGCUCACCAAGGCGACGACGGGUAGCCGGCCUGAGAGGGCGACCGGCCACACUGGGACUGAGACACGGCCCAGACUCCUACGGGAGGCAGCAGUGGGGAAUAUUGCACAAUGGGCGAAAGCCUGAUGCAGCGACGCCGCGUGAGGGAUGACGGCCUUCGGGUUGUAAACCUCUUUCAGCAGGGAAGAAGCGAAAGUGACGGUACCUGCAGAAGAAGCGCCGGCUAACUACGUGCCAGCAGCCGCGGUAAUACGUAGGGCGCAAGCGUUGUCCGGAAUUAUUGGGCGUAAAGAGCUCGUAGGCGGCUUGUCACGUCGGGUGUGAAAGCCCGGGGCUUAACCCCGGGUCUGCAUUCGAUACGGGCUAGCUAGAGUGUGGUAGGGGAGAUCGGAAUUCCUGGUGUAGCGGUGAAAUGCGCAGAUAUCAGGAGGAACACCGGUGGCGAAGGCGGAUCUCUGGGCCAUUACUGACGCUGAGGAGCGAAAGCGUGGGGAGCGAACAGGAUUAGAUACCCUGGUAGUCCACGCCGUAAACGGUGGGAACUAGGUGUUGGCGACAUUCCACGUCGUCGGUGCCGCAGCUAACGCAUUAAGUUCCCCGCCUGGGGAGUACGGCCGCAAGGCUAAAACUCAAAGGAAUUGACGGGGGCCCGCACAAGCAGCGGAGCAUGUGGCUUAAUUCGACGCAACGCGAAGAACCUUACCAAGGCUUGACAUACACCGGAAACGGCCAGAGAUGGUCGCCCCCUUGUGGUCGGUGUACAGGUGGUGCAUGGCUGUCCUCAGCUCCUGUCGUGAGAUGUUGGGUUAAGUCCCGCAACGAGCGCAACCCUUGUUCUGUGUUGCCAGCAUGUCCUUCGGGAUGAUGGGGACUCACAGGAGACCGCCGGGGUCAACUCGGAGGAAGGUGGGGACGACGUCAAGUCAUCAUGCCCCUUAUGUCUUGGGCUGCACACGUGCUACAAUGGCCGGUACAAAGAGCAGCGAUACCGUGAGGUGGAGCGAAUCUCAAAAAGCCGGUCUCAGUUCGGAUUGGGGUCUGCAACUCGACCCCAUGAAGUCGGAGUUGCUAGUAAUCGCAGAUCAGCAUUGCUGCGGUGAAUACGUUCCCGGGCCUUGUACACACCGCCCGUCACGUCACGAAAGUCGGUAACACCCGAAGCCGGUGGCCCAACCCCUUGUGCGAUUGUAGCAUGUUAGAAGGUGGGACUGGUGGUGCGUGGGCGUGGUACUAUAU
rnacentral:rRNA from 1 species